CAGACCACUUAGAUUUUUGUUGAAAUAAACUCCUAAUGAAUUUAAAAAUAAAAAAUGAAAAAAGUUCUCCAGAUGCUUUUAUUCGACAAGAUAUUGUCUACUUUGAGAUAUUUCAAACCUACAAUUUCUACGAGACUCUUCUUGGUCAGUAAAUUCUUGGUCAGCUUCAAUAAAUCUUCCAAUUUCUAUAUCUGUAACUAUCAAAAAACUAUGGAAAGAAAAAGAGGCGGUGGAAAGAUUAAUGGUUUUGUGGACAAAAACAAAGUGAAUUCGAUCAUAUGGUCAAUUACAAGGAAUUCUUGCCAAUCUCAAAGACAUCUCGCCAAAAAGUUUGAACGCUUUCGUUUCCUUGUCAGGAAAGCACUUAACAGCAACGGCUUGAAGGCUUACACCAAGAAAAAACUCCGAAACAAUCAACUGAUGGAGAAUUAAAAGCAAUUUGCUGUAAAAGAAUCUUGUCAAACUUUUUAAUCAAGAAAAUUUAUGCAUUAUUGAGGACGACGAAACGUAAUCGAGUGGUACAUACAAAAUGGCCUUGAAAUUGUCAUUAAAGAUGCAAACCCUUCAAAGCGCGUCAUCAAGAGUUACAGGGCAAUUGCAUAAUCUUGUUGAAAAGCAACAAAUUAGCGAAAGAUGACAAACAGUUUAAGCAAAAAUGGAUAGCAGCAUCGAAAAAGAUCACUAGAAAGAAGAUCCAGGCCAUAAUUAGCAACUACUCUCAAAAAAAUUUAAUUACUUUGUAAGCGCCCUCUGAAAUCUGUACAAACUGAAUAAAAACUUAAAAUGAUACAACCAAUUUCAUAAUUAAAAAAUUUAGAAGUAUUUUGUUAAGUAUUUCUUGGGUUGCUCUUAAGUAUAUACAAUCGAAAAGUGUUGAGCCCAAAAGAUGCACUUGUCAGAAGAUAAUAUCUUGUCGCUACCAACUAUCUCACUUAUAAAACGAUUUUCACUAUCACCAUCUCAUGUACAAAAGAAAACUUUUCAGAUAUGUAAAGACGAAACCUAUAUUGUAAAUGUUUUUGAUAUUUUAUAUUUCUAAAGAAA